AUUGAACGCUGGCGGCAUGCCUUACACAUGCAAGUCGAACGGCAGCACGGGUGCUUGCACCUGGUGGCGAGUGGCGAACGGGUGAGUAAUACAUCGGAACGUACCUUAUCGUGGGGGAUAACGCAGCGAAAGCUGUGCUAAUACCGCAUACGCCCUGAGGGGGAAAGCGGGGGAUCGACAGACCACGCCCGAUCAGAGCGGCCGAUGCCUGAUUAGCUUGUUGGUGGGGUAAAAGCCCACCAAGGCGACGAUCAGUAGCUGGUCUGAGAGGACGAUCAGCCACACUGGGACUGGGACACGGCCCAGACUCCUACUGGAGGCAGCAGUGGGGAAUUUUGGACAAUGGGGGCAACCCUGAUCCAGCAAUGCCGCGUGAGUGAAGAAGGCCUUCGGGUUGUAAAGCUCUUUUGUCAGGGAAGAAACACCGGCUCUAACACAGUCCGGGAAUGACGGUACCUGAAGAAUAAGCACCGGCUAACUACGUGCCAGCCGCCGCAGUAA
rnacentral:rRNA from 1 species